rnacentral:rRNA from 1 species
UACGUAGGGGGCAAGCGUUGUCCGGAUUUAUUGGGCGUAAAGAGCGUGUAGGCGGCCAUGCAGGUCCGUUGUGAAAACUCGAGGCUCAACCUCGAGACGCCGAUGGAAACCGCAUGGCUAGAGUCCGGAAGAGGAGAGUGGAAUUCCCGGUGUAGCGGUGAAAUGCGCAGAUAUCGGGAAGAACACCCGUGGCUAAGGCGGCUCUCUAGUACGGUACUGACGCUGAGACGCGAAAGCGUGGGGAGCGAACAGG